UCUGGAUUAACUGGUCUGUCCAAAUUGCCACCAUAUGAGUGUGUGUAUUUAUGGUUGUGUGUCUGUGUGGCACUGUGAUGGACUGACGACCUGUCCAGUGUGUCUCACCCAGUGACCCUGCCUCUCGCCUAAUGACUGGUAGAGGUAGACACCACCUCCCCACCCUGCAAGGAUCCAUGUUCAGAGACAAUGGGAGGAUGGAUGGAGUUUGCAUCUCUUAAAAAAAAUCUUAACUGUAAUUAUUACUAAUGUCUGACAACAGUGAUGUUUGAAAUGUCUAAAAUGCUGAUUUGGCAGGGAAGGAUGUCAUUCUAGGUUGUUUUUUUUGGGUUUUUUUUUAAUGUAAUUCUUACGAGUAGAAGCUCUGAUCUCAAAUGCCUUUAUUAUGAUUAUUGGCACGUAUUAUUUUAGAUAUCCAAUAUUGACAUCAGUAAUUAAGCUAAUGUCAACAGUGUAUAGGAAGUGUUGUCAUUGUAGAUUUGUAAGAAUAGAAUUCAGAAAACGUAAUUUCACAAAUGUUAUCACUUUUUACAGAUAUUACUAAUAUAACUUAGGACAUCGGAACCUCAACUAGUAGCAGCGCUAUGUCUGCUAUUCGUAUUCUUGAUUAUUUAAGAGUAACUUUCAUAUACUGGUUUAUUAACGAGCAGCAACAUUUAUGUUUGGGAUACCUGAAAUGUUGAUUGUAGGUUGAAUGUCUUUCUAAAUGUCUGAAGAUUCAUUUUUGUUGGUUAGAAACACUGGAUUCAUGGAAAUCCUCUAACAUCACGUGUGUCUAUUAAAUGUUAAAAGGGCUUGCCACGG